AUUGAACGCUGGCGGCAUGCCUUACACAUGCAAGUCGAACGGUAACGGGCCUUCGGGUGCCGACGAGUGGCGAACGGGUGAGUAAUACAUCGGAACGUGCCCGAUCGUGGGGGAUAACGAGGCGAAAGCUUUGCUAAUACCGCAUACGAUCUACGGAUGAAAGCAGGGGACCGCAAGGCCUUGCGCGGACGGAGCGGCCGAUGGCAGAUUAGGUAGUUGGUGGGAUAAAAGCUUACCAAGCCGACGAUCUGUAGCUGGUCUGAGAGGAUGAUCAGCCACACUGGGACUGAGACACGGCCCAGACUCCUACGGGAGGCAGCAGUGGGGAAUUUUGGACAAUGGGCGCAAGCCUGAUCCAGCCAUGCCGCGUGCAGGAUGAAGGCCUUCGGGUUGUAAACUGCUUUGUACGGAACGAAAAGCCUUCUUUUAAUGCAGGAGGGUCAUGACGGUACCGUAAGAAUAAGCACCGGCUAACUACGUG
rnacentral:rRNA from 1 species